rnacentral:rRNA from 1 species
GGAUUAGAUACCCUGGUAGUCCACGCUGUAAACGAUGGAUACUAGUUGUUGGGAACUUGUUCUCAGUGACGGAGCUAACGUAUUAAGUAUCCCGCCUGGGGAGUACGAUCGCAAGGUUGAAACUCAAAGGAAUUGACGGGGGCCCGCACAAGCGGUGGAGCAUGUGGUUUAAUUCGAUGCAACGCGAAGAACCUUACCUGGGCUUGAACUGUUAUUGACCGUACCAGAGAUGGUAUUUCCCUUCGGGGCAAUAUCAGAGGUGCUGCAUGGCUGUCGUCAGCUCGUGCCG